rnacentral:lncRNA from 1 species
AUGUUUUUGGUGGCAGGAAGAAUAAUGGGACAUUCAUUCAUUCAUGGUGGACCGUGUGUGUCUGGUAUAAGUCCUGCAAUCAUCCAUGUCCUUUUUGGGGGCUCACCUGAAACAGCUACAGUUCAGAAUGAGGAUUGCCCUGAUAUUGAUAUCCGCAGCACUAUUCAGCUGCUUGAUGGCACUGCUGAAUUAACAGAACUGGAACGAAGAAAUGUUCUCGAGCUAGCCCUGGCUUGGGACCUGCCAGGUGUCACACAAACCAAUAGAAAGUGGCUGUAUGAACGUCUGCUAUUCCACGCUGUCAUAACACGAACAAGUCGUCAAGUCAAGCAGCUGAGGAAAGGGCUUAAGGAGACCAUGGUAUGGCCGCUUCUGGCAGAAAGAUCAGACAUCAUUCCUCUUUUCUUACCAAGGGAAUCAGAGACGGCUCCCUGUUGUGAGUCUAUUCUAGAAAGGAUAGUGUGGCCUGCCACAGAAGAUGAAGCUGAGGAGGAAGAGGAAUGCUCUCUUGAGGAUAAAUGCAGAGUGGCAGGUUACCUUCGGUCCUUCAUUGAAAAUGGUAAGUCUGCUGCUAUCGGUAUUUUGCUAUUGGUUUUCUCUGAUUAUACUUUGGUAAAUUACAUACAGUCCAGUGAUCUCGGGUCAUUAACAAAGUACACCAUAGUAUAA